rnacentral:rRNA from 1 species
CAGUAGCCGCGGUAAUACGUAGGUGGCAAGCGUUAUCCGGAAUUAUUGGGCGUAAAGCGCGCGUAGGCGGUUUUUUAAGUCUGAUGUGAAAGCCCACGGCUCAACCGUGGAGGGUCAUUGGAAACUGGAAAACUUGAGUGCAGAAGAGGAAAAUGGAAUUCCAUGUGUAGCGGUGAAAUGCGCAGAGAUAUGGAGGAACACCAGUGGCGAAGGCGACUUUCUGGUCUGUAACUGACGCUGAUGUGCGAAAGCGUGGGGAUCAAACAGGAUUAGAUACCCGCGUAGUCCCUGUCUCUUAUAC